GAUGAACGCUGGCGGCGUGCCUAAUACAUGCAAGUCGAGCGAACAGACGAGGAGCUUGCUCCUCUGACGUUAGCGGCGGACGGGUGAGUCACACGUGGAUAACCUACCUAUAAGACUGGGAUAACUUCGGGAAACCGGAGCUAAUACCGGAUAAUAUAUUGAACCGCAUGGUUCAAUAGUGAAAGACGGUUUUGCUGUCACUUAUAGAUGGAUCCGCGCCGCAUUAGCUAGUUGGUAAGGUAACGGCGUACCAAGGCAACGAUGCGUAGCCGACCUGAGAGGGUGAUCGGCGACACUGGAACUGAGACAGGGUCCAGACUCCUACGGGAGGCAGCAGUAGGGAAUCUUCCGCAAUGGGCGAAAGCCUGACGGAGCAACGCCGCGUGAGUGAUGAAGGUCUUCGGAUCGUAAAACUCUGUUAUUAGGGAAGAACAAAUGUGUAAGUAACUAUGCACGUCUUGACGGUACCUAAUCAGAAAGCCACGGCUAACUACGUG
rnacentral:rRNA from 1 species